rnacentral:rRNA from 1 species
CCUACGGGAGGCAGCAGUGAGGAAUAUUGGUCAAUGGACGAGAGUCUGAACCAGCCAAGUAGCGUGAAGGAUGACUGCCCUAUGGGUUGUAAACUUCUUUUGUCAAGGGACAAAAUCAGGCUCGAGAGCCUGACCGAGGGUACUUGAAGAAAAAGCAUCGGCUAACUCCGUGCCAGCAGCCGCGGUAAUACGGAGGAUGCGAGCGUUAUCCGGAUUUAUUGGGUUUAAGGGGUGCGUAGGCGGUCUGUUAAGUCAGCGGUAAAAGCCCGGGGCCAAACCCCGGCGAGCCGUUGAAACUGGCAGUCUUGAGAUGUCGAGAGGUAUGCGGAAUGCGCAGUGUAGCGGUGAAAUGCUUAGAUAUUGCGAAGAACUCCGAUUGCGAAGGCAGUAUACCGGCGGCGAUCUGACGCUGAGGCACGAAAGCGUGGGUAUCGAACAGGAUUAGAUACCCGAGUAGUC